UACAGAGGGUGCAAGCGUUGUUCGGAAUUAUUGGGCGUAAAGGGCGCGUAGGCGGUGCGGUAAGUCUGUAGUGAAAUCUCUGGGCUCAACUCAGAGUCUGCUAUAGAAACUGCCGUGCUUGAGUGUGGGAGAGGUGAGUGGAAUUCCCGGUGUAGCGGUGAAAUGCGUAGAUAUCUGGAGGAACACCGGUGGCGAAGGCGGCAUCCUGGACCAUGACUGACGCUGAGGAGCGAAAGCCAGGGGAGCAAACGGG
rnacentral:rRNA from 1 species